rnacentral:misc_RNA from 1 species
AACAAGGCGUACCUGCGGACCUGCGGAGGGAUCAUUACAGAGUUGCAAAACUCCCUAAACCAUUGUGAACGUUACCUAAACCGUUGCUUCGGCGGGCGGCCCGGGUCCUUCCCGGCGCCCCUCGGCCCUCGCGGGCGCCCGCCGGAGGUAAACCAAACUAUUGCAUUGUAUGGCCUCUCUGAGUCUUCUGUACUGAAUAAGUCAAAACUUUCAGCAAUGGAUCUCAGAUCGGAAGAGCAC